ACGAGCCGGUAGCCGGCGGGGCAGUGGCACCGGUAGCCGCCGGGGUGGUUGGUGCAGUUGUGCUCGCAGUAGUUCAUGUCGCACUCGUCGAUGUCCACGCAGAGCUGGUCGCCGUCCAGCAGGAAGCCCUCGGGGCACUCGCAGCCCUCGCCGUACUGGUUGCACAGGGGCGGGCACUGGCUGUCGCUGCAGUGCAUCUGGCACCGCGCGGGGUCCCGCGGGUCCACGGCGUAGCCGUCGUAGCACCCGCAGCGGUACCCGCCGGGCACGUCCUCGCAGGUGUGCUCGCAGGGCGCCGUGUAGCAGUGGGGCUCGCGCUGGCAGUGCCCGUCCACCAUCCUGUAGCCGGGGUUGCAGCGGCACUCGAAGCCGCCCAUGGUGUUGACGCAGAGCUGCUCGCACAGCCCGGGCUCGCUGGCGCAGUCGUCGUUGUCCUCGCAGGAGCUGCCGUCGGCGCCCAGCCUCCUCCCGGGGCACCAGGGGGUCCCACUCCCGGGAUAUCAUCUCCCUUUCCCUGUGGGCACCUCCAGCUGUCCCAUUCCCUGUGUUAUCUUUGGGGGAUCUGUCUCUGCUGCCAGGGCACAGCCAGGAGCAAAGUAAAAAUGAAAACCAAACAUCCAAAGCUUCCCCGCCCCAAAGAAAAGGCUUCAGCUCUGCCACACGCUUGGAAAAUCAGCGUCCAUGGGAUUUAAUUCCAGAGGCAGGGAUGCAGCCCGAGGAGAAAGGCCGGAGGGACAGACUGGUGCCCACGUGCGUGAGCUUGCAGUGGCCGUUCCUGGGAUAAAGAAUUCAUCCAAGGAGAGCUCAGCCACCCUCCAUCCCCUCAAAAUGAGGACAGGAUCAUUCCCAGGGCUUCCCUGGAGAGCUGGAAGCAAACCAGCAAAAUAAGGGUGGAAUUUCAGGGCAAACAACAGAAAACGAAAGAACACCAAAUUUAAUAGGUGGAAAAUAAAAUAAAAAAUAAUAAUAAUA